rnacentral:rRNA from 1 species
GAAUAUUGGACAAUGGGCGAAAGCCUGAUCCAGCCAUGCCGCGUGUGUGAAGAAGGUCUUCGGAUUGUAAAGCACUUCAAGUUGGGAGGAAGGGCAGUAAGCGAAUACCUUGCUGUUUUGACGUUACCGACCGAAUAAGCCCCGGCUAUCUCUGUGCCAGCAGCCGCGGUAAUACAGAGGGUGCAAGCGUUAAUCGGAAUUACUGGUCGUAAAGCGCGCGGAGGUGGUUCGUUAAGUUGGAUGUGAAAUCCCCGGGGUCAACCUGGGAACUGCAUCCAAAACUGGCGAGCUAGAGUAGGGCCGAGGGUGGUGGAAUUUCCUGUUUAGCUGUUAAAUGCGUAGAUAUAGGAAGGAACACCAGUGGCGAAGGCCACCACCUGGGGUCAUACUGACACUGAGGUGCGAAAGCGUGGGGAGCAAACA